UGGGGAAUCUUGCACAAUGGGGGCAACCCUGAUGCAGCGACGCCGCGUGAGCGAUGAAGGUUUUCGAAUCGUAAAGCUCUGUCCUAUGGGAAGAAAAUGACAGUACCAUAGGAAUAAGGACCGGCUAAUUACGUGCCAGCAGCCGCGGUAAUACGUAAGGUCCGAGCGUUGUCCGGAAUCAUUGGGCGUAAAGGGUUCGCAGGCGGCAUGACAAGUCCGAUGUAAAAGGCGAAAGCUCAACUUUCGUAAGCAUCGGAAACUGUCAAGCUUGAGUGAAGGAGAGGCAAGUGGAAUUCCUAGUGUAGCGGUGGAAUGCGUAGAUAUUAGGAGGAAUACCGGUGGCGAAGGCGACUUGCUGGACUUCAACUGACGCUGAGGAACGAAAGCGUGGGUAGCAAACAGG
rnacentral:rRNA from 1 species